rnacentral:rRNA from 1 species
GAUGAACGCUGGCGGCGUGCCUAAUACAUGCAAGUCGAGCGAACAGACGAGGAGCUUGCUCCUCUGACGUUACCGGCGGACGGGUGAGUAACACGUAGAUAACCUACCUAUAAGGCUGGGAUAACUUCGGGAACCCGGAUCUAAUACCGGAUAAUAUAUUGAACCGCAUGGUUCAAUAGUGAAAGACGGUUUUGCUGUCACUUGUAGAUGGAUCCGCGCCGCAUUAGCUAGUUGGUAAGGUAACGGCUUACCAAGGCAACGAUGCGUAGCCGACCUGAGAGGGUGAUCAGCCACACUGGAACUGAGACACGGUCCAGACUCCUACGGGAGGCAGCAGUAGGGAAUCUUCCGCAAUGGGCGAAAGCCUGACGGAGCAACGCCGCGUGAGUGAUGAAGGUCUUCGGAUCGUAAAACUCUGUUAGUAGGGAAGAACAAAUGUGUAAGUAACUAUGCACGUCUUGACGGUACCUAAUCAGAAAGCCACGGCUAACUACGUG